AGUCUCUGCAGUGUGUUUUGUGACAUUUCAAGCAAGCAGUAUAAUCGAUGUUUACCACAGAAGCUUUGAUAGCUGCUUUGACACCGUGAAAACAGGCCAGCAGCAGACAGGCUUUUCCACUCGGGAAUAAAUAUUGUGACAGGCUGCAUGCAGCGUGUGCACAUUUGUCUGUCUGUGUUUCUGUCUUUUUUUUUUGACUGUACACAACUUCACACUUCAGGAUGACCGCUUGUAUUUUUGGAAAGUAUGUGUCCAAAUCAUCUUUUCAACUCUGGUGUGGAAAGAUGGUUGUUUUUGUUUGACCUUUAGCCCCUCGCUGAACUUCUUCACCUUGCACAUAUAAAAGCAAUAACUUCCUUAUCGCC